UUUAAUUUAAUAUAUUUGUUUAUAUAAAUAAUUAAUAAUUAUUUAUAUAUAUUUAUAUAUAUAAUUUAAU
rnacentral:tRNA from 1 species